AUAAUAAGGCAGAACAGUUGAAACUAGAGCAGCAGCACAGUCAGGUGGAAGUUGAAACUGGAGCAGCAGCAUGGCCAGGUAGACUGGGGACAGCAAGGAGUCAUCAUGUCAGGUAGUCCUGGGGCAUGGUCCUAGGGCUCAGGUCAGUUGAAACUGGAACAGCAGCAUGGCCAGGUGGACUGGGGACAGCAAGGAGUCAUCAUGUCAGGUAGUCCUGGGGCAUGGUCCUAGGGCUCAGGUCCUCCGAGAGAGAGAAAGAAAGAGAGAAGGAGAGAAUUAGAGAACGCACACUUAGAUUCACACAGGACACCGAAUAGGACAGGAGAAGUACUCCAGAUAUAACAAACUGACCCCAGCCCCCCGACACAUAAACUACUAACCCUCCUAACCCUCCUAACACUUAUAACCCUCUUAACCUUCCUAACACAUCUAACCCUCUUAACCUUCCUUACCCUCCCAACACAUCUAAAUCUCCUUUCACAUCUUACCCUCCUAACCCUCUCAACACUCCUACCCCUCCUAACACGUAUAACCCUCCUAACCCUCCUAAUCCUCCUAACCCUCCUCACACUUAUAACCCUCCUAACACAUCUAACCCUCUUAACCCUCCUUACCCUCCCAACACAUCUAACCCUCUUAACCCUCCUUACCCUCCCAACACAUCUAAAUUUCCUAUCACAUCUAACCCUCCUAACCCUCUCAACACUCCUACCCCUCCUAACACGUAUAACCCUCCUAACCCUCCUAACACAUCUAACCCCCCUAACCCUCCUAACAUAUCUAACUCUCCUAACACAUCUAACCCUCCUAACCUGUCUAACCCUACUAACACUUAUAACCCUCCUAACAUAUCUUACCCUCCUAACACAUCUAACCUUCCUAACCCUCCCAACACAUCUAACCCUCCUAACACAUCUAACCCCCCUAACCCUCCUAACAUAUCUAACUCUCCUAACACAUCUAACCCUCCUAACCUGUCUAACCCUACUAACACUUAUAACCCUCCUAACAUAUCUUACCCUCCUAACACAUCUAACCUUCCUAACCCUCCCAACACAUCUAACCCUCCUAACACAUCUAACCCCCCUAACCCUCCUAACAUAUCUAACUCUCCUAACACAUCUAACCCUCCUAACCUGUCUAACCCUACUAACACUUAUAACCCUCCUAACAUAUCUUACCCUCCUAACACAUCUAACCCUCCUAACCCUCCGAACACAUCUAACCCUCCUAACUCAUCUAACCCUCCCAACACAUCUAACACAUCUAACCCUCCUAACAGAUCUAACCCUCCUAACCCUCCUAACACAUCUAACCCCCCUAACCCUCCCAACACAUCUAACCCUCCUAACCCUCCUAACACAUCUAACCCUCCAAACGCUCCUAACACAUCUAACGCUCCUAACACAUCUAACCCUCCUAACACAUCUAACCCUCCUAACACAUCUAACCCUCCUAACACUCUUAACCCUCCUAACACAUCUAACCCUCCUAACCCUCCUAACACAUCUAACCCUCCUAACACAUCUAACCCUCCUAACACAUCUAAACCUCCUAACACAUCUAACCUUCCUAACCUGUCUACAUCUCCUAUCACAUCUAACCCUCCUAACUCUCUCAACACUCCUAACCCUCCGAACACUUAUAACUCUCCUAACCCUCUCAACACUCCUAACCCUCUUAACCCUCCUAACACAUCUAACCCUCCUAACUCUCUCAACACUCCUAACCCUCCUAACCCUCCGAACACUUAUAACUCUCCUAACCCUCUCAACACUCCUAACCCUCUUAACCCUCCUAACACUUAUAACCCUCCUAACCGUCAUAAACCCUUCUAACCCUUCUAACACUCCUGACCCUCCUAACCCUCUCAACAGUCCUAACCCUCCUAACACAUCUAACCCUCCUAACCCUCUCAACACUCCUAACCCUCCUAACACAUCUAACCAUCCUAACACAUCUAACCAUCCUAACACAUCUAACCAUCCUAACCCUCUCAACACUCCUAACCAUCCUAACACAUCUAACCAUCCUAACACAUCUAACCAUCCUAACACAUCUAACCAUCCUAACACAUCUAACCAUCCUAACCCUCUCAACACUCCUAACCCUCCUAACACAUCUAACCAUCCUAACCCUCUCAACACUCCUAACCAUCCUAACACAUCUAACCAUCCUAACACAUCUAACCAUCCUAACACAUCUAACCAUCAUAACACAUCUAACCAUCCUAACCCUCUCAACACUCCUAACCCUCCUAACACAUCUAACCAUCCUAACCCUCUCAACACACCUAACCCUCCUAACACAUCUAACCCUCCUAACCCUCUCAACACUCCUAACCCUCCUAACACAUCUAACCCUCAUAACCUGUCUAACCCUACUAACACUUAUUACCCUCCUAACACAUCUAACCCUCCUAACACAUCUAACCCUCCUAACCCUUCUAACACAUCUAACCCUCCUAACCCUCAUAACCCUUCUAACCCUCCUAACACAUCUAACUCUCCUAACACAUCUAACCCUCCUAACCCCU
rnacentral:lncRNA from 1 species